AUUGAACGCUGGCGGCAGGCCUAACACAUGCAAGUCGAGCGGAUGAAGGGAGCUUGCUCCUGGAUUCAGCGGCGGACGGGUGAGUAAUGCCUAGGAAUCUGCCUGGUAGUGGGGGAUAACGUCCGGAAACGGGCGCUAAUACCGCAUACGUCCUGAGGGAGAAAGUGGGGGAUCUUCGGACCUCACGCUAUCAGAUGAGCCUAGGUCGGAUUAGCUAGUUGGUGGGGUAAAGGCCUACCAAGGCGACGAUCCGUAACUGGUCUGAGAGGAUGAUCAGUCACACUGGAACUGAGACGCGGUCCAGACUCCUACGGGAGGCAGCAGUGGGGAAUAUUGGACAAUGGGCGGAAGCCUGAUCCAGCCAUGCCGCGUGUGUGAAGAAGGUCUUCGGAUUGUAAAGCACUUUAAGUUGGGAGGAAGGGCAGUAAGUUAAUACCUUGCUGUUUUGACGUUACCAACAGAAUAAGCACCGGCUAACUUCGUG
rnacentral:rRNA from 1 species